UUGCUUUGGCAGCAUGUAUACUAAAAUUGGGAUGAUACCAAGUAGAUUAGCAUGGCCUUUUUUGCAAGGAAGACAUGCAAAUUUCUAAAAUGUUCCAUACUUUU